rnacentral:rRNA from 1 species
AUUGAACGCUGGCGGCAGGCCUAACACAUGCAAGUCGAGCGAGCGGCGGACGGGUGAGUAAUGUCUGGGAAACUGCCUGAUGGGGGGGGGUAACUACUGGAGACGGUAGCUAAUACCGCAUACCAUCAGAUGUGCCCAGAUGGGAUUAGCGAGUAGGUGGGGUAAUGGCUCACCUAGGCGACGAUCCCUAGCUGGUCUGAGAGGGUGACCAGCCACACUGGAACUGAGACUCGGUCCAGACUCCUACGGGAGGCAGCAGUGGGGAAGAGUGCACAAUGGGCGCAAGCCUGAUGCAGCCAUGCCGCGUGUGUGAAGAAGGCCUUCGGGUUGUAAAGCACUUUCAGCGGGGAGGCGUUACCCGCAGAAGAAGCACCGGCUAACUCCGUGCCAGCCGCCGCGGUAAUUC